UUUCCGUAGGUGAACCUGCGGAAGGAUCAUUAUCAAUCUGUGUUUUUUCGGCCUUUUUACAACCCUUGUCUCCACCUUAUGUGAUACGUUCUGCGACGCUCUAUCGUUCUCUUUUAGGUUACGGAAGCGGGAAUCUCUACACAUUCACAACCUCACAUAAAACUAAUUUGUAUGAACAUUUGUUAUCACGCUUUAACUUAUUUCGUCGAUACAACUUUCAACAACUCAUCUCUUGACUCGCGCAUACAUGAAGAACGCAGCAGAUCGGCAGAGCACACG
rnacentral:misc_RNA from 1 species